CUUCCUGCAGUCGAGCGAGGCGUCCCGCAAGGGACAGUCGAGCGGCGAACGGGUGAGUAACGCGUGGAUGACCUGCCCUUGAAUGGGGAAUAACCCGGGGAAACUCGGGCUAAUACCGCAUACGACCGAGAGGUGAAAGGGGGCUCGCAAGGGCUCUCGUUCGAGGAGGGGUCCGCGUUCGAUUAGCUAGUUGGUAGGGUAAUGGCCUACCAAGGCGACGAUCGAUAGCCGGCCUGAGAGGGUGAUCGGCCACACUGGAACUGAGACACGGUCCAGACUCCUACGGGAGGCAGCAGUGGGGAAUUUUGCGCAAUGGGCUAACGCCUGACGCAGCAACGCCGCGUGGAGGAUGAAGGUCUUUGGAUUGUAAACUCCUGUCAGCGGGGAAAAAGGGACCUGGCUUAAUACGCCGGGGACUUGAUUGUACCCGCAGAGGAAGCCCCGGCUAACUCUGUGCCAGCAGCCGCGGUAAUACAGAGGGGGCGAGCGUUAUUCGGAAUUAUUGGGCGUAAAGGGCGCGUAGGCGGCUUUUCAAGUGACGGGUGAAAUCCCUCGGCUUAACCGAGGAACUGCCUGUCAGACUGGAAGGCUUGAGACCGGGAGAGGUGAGUGGAAUUCCCAGUGUAGCGGUGAAAUGCGUAGAUAUUGGGAGGAACACCAGUGGCGAAGGCGGCUCACUGGACCGGAACUGACGCUGAGGCGCGAAAGCGUGGGGAGCAAACAGGAUUAGAUACCCUGGUAGUCCACGCCGUAAACGAUGAGUGCUUGGUGUAGCGGGUAUCGACCCCUGCUGUGCCGAAGUCAACACAUUAAGCACUCCGCCUGGGGAGUACGGUCGCCAAGACUGAAAC
rnacentral:rRNA from 1 species